rfam:Heligmosomoides polygyrus genome assembly, scaffold: HPBE_scaffold0005858
GCGCCGGUGGUGUAAGGUGAACAUCGCUGCCCGGAAAGCAGAAGAUGCGGGUUCGAGUCCCGCCUGGCGCA